UUAUGAACUCAGAAGCAGCAAAUAUUAGAGAGGCAACCAUUGCUGAAUUUACUUUUGUUCUCGGUUUUUAGUCCUCAUUCCUUCUAAUGCUUUGAUUCAGUGUUAACAAGCAUGAUCAAAGCAAUCAUUCUGACCAUAUUAACUUUUUGGGUAACAGUUUGUGUGGUAUCUUCUCCCAUCAUUCAACAGUCUCCUGAACAUCUUCUUCGGACAGUUGGGGAGAAAGAGGCAAAUCUGUCUUGUCGUCAUGGUGACCCCAGCUAUACAUUUAUGUACUGGUAUAAGCAGAAGAGCUACAGUGGUUCUUUAGAGCUUAUUGGAUUCCUCCAGUAUGGAGCACAUACGCCUGUGGAGAAAUUCAAAUCGCGAUUCAUGAUCUCAGGACAUGCUACACGGGAUGCAUUCCUUCUCAUAUCCAACAUAUCUACUGGGGACAGUGCAGUGUAUUUCUGUGCAGCUAGUGUGCACAGCAAUGCACUUCUCUGUAACCCCUAA